rnacentral:rRNA from 1 species
GUCUACGGCCAUGCCACCCUGAACAAGCACGGUGUCUGAUCUCGGAAGUGAAGCAGAGUCGGGCCUGGUUAGUACUUGGAUGGGAGACCACCUAGGAAGACUAGGUGCUGUAGGCA